UCUAAACUCGGUUCAGAGUGAUGCCGCC
rnacentral:piRNA from 1 species